rnacentral:rRNA from 1 species
CAAGUAGCGGAGCAUGUGGUUUAAUUCGAAGCAACGCGAAGAACCUUACCUAAGCUUGACAUCCCAAUGACAUCUCCUUAAUCGGAGAGUUCCCUUCGGGGACGUUGGUGACAGGUGGUGCAUGGUUGUCGUCAGCUCGUGUCGUGAGAUGUUGGGUUAAGUCCCGCAACGAGCGCAACCCUUGUCUUUAGUUGCCAUCAUUAAGUUGGGC